rnacentral:rRNA from 1 species
GGCUAAAACUCAAAGGAAUUGACGGGGGGCCCGCACAAGCGGCGGAGCAUGCGGAUUAAUUCGAUGCAACGCGAAGAACCUUACCAAGGCUUGACAUAUACGAGAACGGGCUAGAAAUAGUCAACUCUUUGGACACUCGUAAACAGGUGGUGCAUGGUUGUCGUCAGCUCGUGUCGUGAGAUGUUGGGUUAAGUCCCGCAACGAGCGCAACCCUCGUUCUAUGUUGCCAGCACGUAAUGGUGGGAACUCAUAGGAGACUGCCGGGGUCAACUCGGAGGAAGGUGGGGAUGACGUCAAAUCAUCAUGCCCCUUAUGUCUUGGGCUUCACGCAUGCUACAAUGGCCGGUACAAAGGGCUGCAAUACCGUAAGGUGGAGCGAAUCCCAAAAAGCCGGUCUCAGUUCGGAUUGAGGUCUGCAACUCGACCUCAUGAAGUCGGAGUCGCUAGUAAUCGCAGAUCAGCAACGCUGCGGUGAAUACGUUCCCGGGCCUUGUACACACC